rnacentral:tRNA from 1 species
UGGCUCAGUGGAAAGAGCCUGGACUUGGGAUCCAGAGGCCAUGGGUUUGAAUCCCGA